GGAGGGAUCAUUAAAGAGUUCUAUAACUCCCAAACCCAUGUGAACAUACCUAACGUUGCCUCGGCAGGUCGCACCUACCUUGUAGCACCCUACCCUGUAGGGCCUACCCGGGAGGUGCGGGUAAGCCUGCCGGCGGCCCACCAAACUCUGUUUGAUAUUGAAUUCUGAACCUAUAACUAAAUAAGUUAAAACUUUCAACAACGGAUCUCUUGGUUCUGGCAUCGAUGAAGAACGCAGCGAAAUGCGAUAAGUAAUGUGAAUUGCAGAAUUCAGUGAAUCAUCGAAUCUUUGAACGCAUAUUGCGCCCAUUAGUAUUCUAGUGGGCAGGACCGUUCGAGCGUCAUUUCAACCCUUAAGCCUUCGUUGCUUAGUGUUGGGAGCCUACGGCAACGUAGCUCCUCAAAGUUAGUGGCGGAGUUGGUUCACACUCUAGACGUAGUAAUUUUUUAUCUCGCCUAUUAGUUGGACUAAUCCCCUGCCGUAAAACCCCCAAUUUAUCAAGGUUGACCUCGAAUCGGUUCAGACAAACUCGCUAAAUUGAAGCAUCUUAGUCAGCGAAGGAAAAGAAACCAACAGGGAUUGCCCUAGUAACGGCGAGUGAAGCGGCAACAGCUCAAAUUUGAAAUCUGGCCCUCGGGU
rnacentral:rRNA from 1 species